AGAAGAAGCCAGAAGUGAAAGAAGCUGUUAAAACUUUGUUUGCGGUGAUGAAGUCAGGAAAGAAAGCAAGGGAUAUAAUGACUCGCAAGGCUUUUGAGAAUGCUGUGACAGUCAUGUAUGCAUUGGGAGGAUCUACCAAGGGAGUGCUUCACCUACUAGCUCUUGCUCGAGAAUCUGAGGUCGAGUUUUCCAUUGAUGAUUUCAACAAAAUUUGA